rnacentral:lncRNA from 1 species
AAUAUGUAAUAACAUAUUAUGUAAUGAAACUACAUAUACUUUCAUCAUUUUAAUAUAAGGCGUCAUUUCAAAUUGGAAUGCAGUCAACCGACGUUAGAAAUUCGGAACACACUCCUGUCCUGCCGAGCCGUCACCAGCUGUGGAGAGAUUUGAUCUACGUCCCUCAAGCAUUUAUGAAACUUUUAUUUUCACUUAUUUGUAGAAAUAAUCAUAGAUUGGGAAUAUUGACAUUAAAUGUCGUUUCUUUAUUCUAGAGCAACACAGCUGUCCUUAUUCCUAUAAAUAUCAUUACA